rnacentral:rRNA from 1 species
GAUGAACGCUGGCGGCGUGCCUAAUACAUGCAAGUCGAGCGAACGGACGAGAAGCUUGCUUCUCUGAUGUUAGCGGCGGACGGGUGAGUAACACGUGGAUAACCUACCUAUAAGACUGGGAUAACUUCGGGAAACCGGAGCUAAUACCGGAUAAUAUUUUGAACCGCAUGGUUCAAAAGUGAAAGACGGUCUUGCUGUCACUUAUAGAUGGAUCCGCGCUGCAUUAGCUAGUUGGUAAGGUAACGGCUUACCAAGGCAACGAUGCAUAGCCGACCUGAGAGGGUGAUCGGCCACACUGGAACUGAGACACGGUCCAGACUCCUACGGGAGGCAGCAGUAGGGAAUCUUCCGCAAUGGGCGAAAGCCUGGCGGAGCAACGCCGCGUGAGUGAUGAAGGUCUUCGGAUCGUAAAACUCUGUUAUUAGGGAAGAACAUAUGUGUAAGUAACUGUGCACAUCUUGACGGUACCUAAUCAGAAAGCCACGGCUAACUACGUGCCAGCAGCCGCGGUAAUACGUAGGUGGCAAGCGUUAUCCGGAAUUAUUGGGCGUAAAGCGCGCGUAGGCGGUUUUUUAAGUCUGAUGUGAAAGCCCACGGCUCAACCGUGGAGGGUCAUUGGAAACUGGAAAACUUGAGUGCAGAAGAGGAAAGUGGAAUUCCAUGUGUAGCGGUGAAAUGCGCAGAGAUAUGGAGGAACACCAGUGGCGAAGGCGACUUUCUGGUCUGUAACUGACGCUGAUGUGCGAAAGCGUGGGGAUCAAACAGGAUUAGAUACCCUGGUAGUCCACGCCGUAAACGAUGAGUGCUAAGUGUUAGGGGGUUUCCGCCCCUUAGUGCUGCAGCUAACGCAUUAAGCACUCCGCCUGGGGAGUACGACCGCAAGGUUGAAACUCAAAGGAAUUGACGGGGACCCGCACAAGCGGUGGAGCAUGUGGUUUAAUUCGAAGCAACGCGAAGAACCUUACCAAAUCUUGACAUCCUUUGACAACUCUAGAGAUAGAGCUUUCCCCUUCGGGGGACAAAGUGACAGGUGGUGCAUGGUUGUCGUCAGCUCGUGUCGUGAGAUGUUGGGUUAAGUCCCGCAACGAGCGCAACCCUUAAGCUUAGUUGCCAUCAUUAAGUUGGGCACUCUAAGUUGACUGCCGGUGACAAACCGGAGGAAGGUGGGGAUGACGUCAAAUCAUCAUGCCCCUUAUGAUUUGGGCUACACACGUGCUACAAUGGACAAUACAAAGGGCAGCGAAACCGCGAGGUCAAGCAAAUCCCAUAAAGUUGUUCUCAGUUCGGAUUGUAGUCUGCAACUCGACUACAUGAAGCUGGAAUCGCUAGUAAUCGUAGAUCAGCAUGCUACGGUGAAUACGUUCCCGGGUCU